rnacentral:rRNA from 1 species
UACGGAGGGUGCAAGCGUUGCUCGGAAUCACUGGGCGUAAAGAGAGCGUAGGCGGACAAUUAAGUCAGGUGUGAAAGCCCGGAGCUCAACUCCGGAAUUGCAUCUGAAACUGGUUGUCUAGAGUACAGGAGAGGAGAGUGGAAUUCCUGGUGUAGAGGUGAAAUUCGCUGAUAUCAGGAGGAACACCCGUGGCGAAGGCGGCUCUCUGGUCUGAUACUGACGCUGAGGCUCGAAAGUGUGGGUAGCAAACAGG